rnacentral:sRNA from 1 species
UAUAAGCUGUGGGAAGGAGUUGUG